GACGAACGCUGGCGGCGUGCCUAAUACAUGCAAGUCGAGCGAGCUUGCCUAGAUGAAUUUGGUGCUUGCACCAAAUGAAACUAGAUACAAGCGAGCGGCGGACGGGUGAGUAACACGUAGGUAACCUGCCCAAGAGACUGGGAUAACACCUGGAAACAGAUGCUAAUACCGGAUAACAACACUAGACGCAUGUCUAGAGUUUAAAAGAUGGUUCUGCUAUCACUCUUGGAUGGACCUGCGGUGCAUUAGCUAGUUGGUAAGGUAACGGCUUACCAAGGCAAUGAUGCAUAGCCGAGUUGAGAGACUGAUCGGCCACAUUGGGACUGAGACACGGCCCAAACUCCUACGGGAGGCAGCAGUAGGGAAUCUUCCACAAUGGACGCAAGUCUGAUGGAGCAACGCCGCGUGAGUGAAGAAGGUUUUCGGAUCGUAAAGCUCUGUUGUUGGUGAAGAAGGAUAGAGGUAGUAACUGGCCUUUAUUUGACGGUAAUCAACCAGAAAGUCACGGCUAACUACGUGCCAGCAGCCGCGGUAAUACGUAGGUGGCAAGCGUUGUCCGGAUUUAUUGGGCGUAAAGCGAGCGCAGGCGGAAGAAUAAGUCUGAUGUGAAAGCCCUCGGCUUAACCGAGGAACUGCAUCGGAAACUGUUUUUCUUGAGUGCAGAAGAGGAGAGUGGAACUCCAUGUGUAGCGGUGGAAUGCGUAGAUAUAUGGAAGAACACCAGUGGCGAAGGCGGCUCUCUGGUCUGCAACUGACGCUGAGGCUCGAAAGCAUGGGUAGCGAACAGG
rnacentral:rRNA from 1 species